rnacentral:rRNA from 1 species
GGGUUUCGGCUUCAGUGGCUAAGCGAAAGUUAUAAGUAUCCCACCUGGGGAGUACGUUCGCAAGAAUGAAACUCAAAGGAAUUGACGGGGGCCCGCACAAGCGGUGGAUUAUGUGGUUUAAUUCGAUGAUACGCGAGGAACCUUACCAAGGCUUAAAUGGGAAAUGACAGGUUUAGAAAUAGACUUUUCUUCGGACAUUUUUCAAGGUGCUGCAUGGUUGUCGUCAGCUCGUGCCGUGAGGUGUUAGGUUAAGUCCUGCAACGAGCGCAACCCCUAUCAUUAGUUGCCAGCGUUUAAAGACGGGGACUCUAAUGAGACUGCCGGUGCAAACCGCGAGGAAGGUGGGGACGACGUCAAGUCAUCACGGCCCUUACGUCUUGGGCUACACACGUGCUACAAUGGUAAGUACAGAGGGCAGCUACUUGGCAACAAGAUGCGAAUCUCAAAAACUUAUCUCAGUUCGGAUUGGAGUCUGCAACUCGACUCUAUGAAGCUGGAAUCGCUAGUAAUCGCAUAUCAGCCAUGAUGCGGUGAAUACGUUCCCGGGCCUUGUACACACCGCCCGUCAAGCCAUGGAAGCUGGGGGUACCUGAAGUCGGUGACCGUAACAGGAGCUGCCUAGGGUAAAACAGGUAACUAGGGCUAAGUCGUAACAAGGUAGCCGUACCGGAAGGUGCGGCUG